rnacentral:lncRNA from 1 species
CACCUGCAAGAGUCUCAAAGUCUGUGGUAUUUCAUUUAUCAUCCUUGUGGUUCAUAGGUACCAAGGCCGGCAGGCUGAUUACUCAACAGGCUUAUUGCACUCCUUGGUGACUAAUAGAUUCUUCUUCUGUUUGUGUUUCAAAGCCAUAGCAAUAGCAUUGGCUCUCAGGAAUGGCAUUGAAAUCACCAUUAUUUAGCCUGACCCUACCUACAAUGAUAAACAAGCCAGCCAAAACAUGGCUCCUUAGAAAAAGUAGGCGUCCAAGUCUCCUCUCUGGACCAGUGGCUGGUGGUGCAAUGUGCUUCACACUUCUACUGCUACGCCUUCCCCAUCAUGAUGGACUACACCUUCAAACCUGCUCUGUGAAGCUAUCAUUUCUCCCAUUUUUUUGGAUGAAGAAACCGAAGCUCCACAAGGGAACUUUUAAGAGAGGUGUGUGUAGCUAUGUACAUAUGGAAAAAGUACAUAAGCUAUGCAUGUCGGACUGGCAAGCAUCACUCUGCCAAUUUUAUACCUUUAUUUGUUUAAAUGCUGGGAAACGGGCUCAGAGAAGUUAAUGAACUAUCUCAAGAUCACACAGCUGGGAAGUGGCAGAGCCCAGCCUUUAACUGUCUGCAAAAUCCAUAGCUGUGCCACUCAACACAAGGCUGUCUCGUGUCAGCAUCCCAGUGACUCUGCCCGGUACAUGGUUCCAAUUUACUGGACCCAGGCCCAAGGGAGUGUCUGGGAGACCUAGGAG